UUGGCUUCUUGGAAGUGUCUUCCUUCCUUCCACUUGAUCGAACAAACACACACACAAAACAACCUUUCGGUUUGUGUUAAAACAGCUGCAGAAAAUCCUCUCUUCAAGCUUAUAUUUUGAAGUAAUGAUAAUUGGUACCCUGUCUCCGCCUCCCACCUCGUGAUGCUUACAAUUUAGAUCUUCAGAAUCAGUUCAAAACCACCUCAGGCCCUCUUAAUUUCAUUUCCACUUCCUCGCCUCUUUAAAGGCCUGGAAAUGACCCGUGUUUAUGAACUACCGAGGAACUCUGGCUGCCCCGUCCAAUGGACCAUUACUUUCUCUGAUCUUGCUGCUAGCUACCAUGGGAGCCAAGUUAAGCUCCGCUCCUUUGUUCACACCUGAAAGGGUGCUCAUUUCCUGGGCAUGACUCAGGAUGUAGACAGAUGCCCAAAUAUGUAUGCAAGCUCUUUAAAAAGCAGGUAAAAGCUCAGCAGUUUAAAAAAGCAAAAACAAAACAAAACAGACUCUGGGAAUCUAGCAUCAGGUUAAAAAAAAAACCUUAGGUGUUUGUGGGUGACAAUUCUGUACCACAGUUUCUUUCUCCACUUAAAAGAUGCCAUAAUAAAAGCCUUUCCCCAUUAAUGGGAUAAAGUGUAUAAAAUACACAGCCCACAGUUUACCCUCUGGGUAAGAAGCAUUAAGUACUAGCUAUUAUUACAAUCUAUGGUUUUCUUGUUUGUUUUGUUGUUACAUUGUUAUUAUUUAAGAUAAGGUCUCACUCUGGAGCGUCUAAUCUGGAAUUAAAGCAAACAGAUGUGCCAUGGUCAGAAGAUAUCAUUUUGCUGCCGGUUAACCCAUCAUCUGACUCUUCGAUCCUUUCUUUUCCUUAUAUGAUGUUCACUGACCGUCGAGUAGGUGAAAUAGACUGGAAUCUCUGGAAACAAGGUACCCCUUCCUGAUCUUGAGCUUAGUAUAAAGGCAGAUGACCCUGAAUGCUUGAUCCCCCCUCCUAAGCUCUCCCAUAUACAUUCU
rnacentral:lncRNA from 1 species